rnacentral:rRNA from 1 species
UACAGAGGGUGCGAGCGUUAAUCGGAAUUACUGGGCGUAAAGCGUGCGUAGACGGUUAUUUAAGUCAGGUGUGAAAGCCCCGGGCUCAACCUGGGAAUUGCAUUUGAGACUGAAUAGCUAGGGUGCGGAAGAGGGAAGCGGAAUUUCCGGUGUAGCGGUGAAAUGCGUAGAUAUCGGAAGGAACACCUGUGGCGAAAGCGGCUCACUGGACCAUUACUGACGCUGAGGCACGAAAGCUAGGGGAGCAAACAGG